UUUUCUUCUAGGGUUUUUAUGGUUUUAGAUCUUACAUUUAGGUCUUUAAUCCAUCUUGAGUUAAUUUUUGCAUAAGGUGUAAGGAAGGGAUCCAGUUUCAGCUUUCUACGUAUGGCUAGCCAGUUUUCCCAGCACCAUUUAUUAAAUAGCAGUGCAAUCAAAUUAGAUCUCAGGAAUAAGAAACUCACUCAAAACCACUCAACUACAUGGAAACUGAACAACCUGCUCCUGAAUGACUACUGGGUAAAUAACGAAAUGAAGGUAGAAAUAAAGAUGUUCUUUGAAACCAAUGAGAACAAAGACACAACGUACCAGAAUUUCUGGGACACAUUUAAAGCAGUGUGUAGAGGGAAAUUUAUAGCACUAAAUGCCCACAAGAGAAAGCAGGAAAGAUCUAAAAUCAACACCCUAACAUCAAAAUUAAAAGAAUUAGAGAAGCAAGAGCAAACAAACUCAAAAGCUAGCAG
rnacentral:lncRNA from 1 species